GAUGAGAUACUAGAACUGAGAAUGAAGAUGAGAAUAACUAACAACCAACGCUUUGACAUAAUUUACAUAACCAUUAGUCUAACUCAUUGUCCUGUUCAACAGAUGGUUAUUGGGCCUGGAUCCCAAAUAAAAGACUCUAAUAGCCCAUAGGCCCGUAAGAAAUCAACUUUGUUCACAACAAUACUCCCGCCCAUAAAAAGAACAUUUCCUCAAGGUUCAAGACAUGAAAUCCAUCCAAAACUCUCUCAAUUAUCUGACAAGCAGAAAUUUCACAUGUUGCAAUGUCACGAGUGUAAAGUGAAACAACACUCCUCCAUCUAGCAAUAAAUCUGCAGGUAGGUUAUCAUCUAGUUGAUGGUACCACCAUUAUCAAGCAUACCAGUUGCAUGCCCAUAGAUGAAUGAUAUUAACAGCACCCAUAUUAUAUUCCACAACAAAAUGUAGGAAGAAUCUCACAAGACACCCACUGAUGUAUUCAUCCAUGUUGUUCCCAUUUUGCACUAGCUUGUUGUCUUGUAGUUAGUGUUAUACCCCAUUUUAACCGGGUCAAAAUAGUGUACAACAUUUUGGAAAUUUCUAAAGUUAAUCGACUAAGUCAAGAAGUCGCCACCUAAUUAUUUACGGUGAAUUAGGGCACCUAAAUUGAUUAAAGUCAUUGUCUAAAAUUAACUUCAUUUUAAGGUCUACUAAACAUGAGAAUCUAGGUAAGGGUUCAACUAAUCUAAAGGGAAGGGAUGAGGCAUCCUUUAAGAUCCAUUAAAAAUGGUUAACCGACC
rnacentral:lncRNA from 1 species